rnacentral:lncRNA from 1 species
UACCGCCGUAUUUAACAAUGAUAAACGAUUGAUCUGGUACUGUAUCCGUCAUCGUGCAUCCGUUUAUAAAAUAUCCAAAUAUAUAUCACUGUUCUAAAUUCAAUUUAAAUUAUAUUUGCGUACCAUUUUAAGGUACAUUUCAUUAAAUAUCAAUCAUACAAAAAUAUUCAUAAAUCCACACACCAGAUAAAAUUCUAUAUUUAAAUGCCACUGAAUUCAGGUGUGAAAUCUAACGGAUUUUAAACAAUGCCAUGCAAUCAACAGGUAACAAUACGUAUGCUGUCUCGUUGUCAACAAUACGCGUCCUUUAAACAGAUUGAAAUGACGAAUAAAUAAAUAGGUUUAGUGUUCAUUCAAUAAACAUGGUUUUCAUGUUAUAGCAUGUCCCUUUUCAAUAAAUU